ACCAGUUACAGAAAAAGUAUUUUAGUUGUCGAAGCAUGCCCGCAACUAAAAAGUAAAUAACGUAUGCCAGUAGUUCAAUGCAGAUAUUAAAAUUGUUAAUUUUUUGCAUCAUUGGGUGCUUUGACUUAAAUCUUGGCUACCUAUCCAACUGAUUGAGGGCUCCUGGACAGGUUGGAUCUAGAAAGCUACAUGGGCGAAGAAAAUCAGUCAUUCUUCAAACUAACUCAACUAA
rnacentral:lncRNA from 1 species